UCCGGUUUGUCACCGGCAGUAUCCCAUGAGUCCCCAACUUAAUGAUGGUAACAUAGGACAGGGGUUGCGCUCGUUGCGGGACUUAACCCAACAUCUCACGAUACGAGCUGACGACAGCCAUGCAGCACCUGUGCGGACUCCGGCCGAACCGAAGGUACGAUCUCUCGUACCGGCGAGUCCCAUGUCAAGGGCUGGUAAGGUUCUGCGCGUUGCGUCGAAUUGAACCACAUGCUCCACCGCUUGUGCGGGCCCCCGUCAAUUCCUUUGAGUUUCAACCUUGCGGUCGUACUCCCCAGGUGGAUCACUUAAUGCUUUCGCUCAGACGCGUACAGUAUAUCGCACACAUCGAGUGAUCAUCGUUUAGGGCGUGGACUAC
rnacentral:misc_RNA from 1 species